CUUCACAAGGGUAGACACAAGAGAGGAAGUGUAUCAUCCUGUGGACGUGUUUUCUAGUUUCUGUACCUAAAAUAUAUUUUUCCCAGCCGGUGCUGAAGUUCUGAAGUGCAAUAAGUAAGUCUCAGACAACUUCCUACAUCCCAGAGCACCAUCCCUCAUACAACCCAGCAUCCUCCUUCGCGGGCAGCUUGUAGCAUUGCAUUUUAGCCUUAGUUCUAUCAGUUAGGUAUUGAUUAACCACGCGGGUAACCGAGCAAAUGGGGAGAGGGGCUUACUGCACACCAGGCGAAACCGUACCUUCCCUCUGGCUCUGUCUGUGCCUGCUGUGCGCCAUAUUAUGACUAGCACUGCAGAGCCUAGACGCUCUAAACCGUGGGCUUCCCAGAGGGGCAGCUUUGCGGGGCUGAACACAGGAUCGACAUUUCUCUCGGGAAACGUUCGGCGGCCUGCCUGAAGUUCUGGGAUAAUGGGACCAGAGCAAUAUUGCUCAAGUCUCCUUUCAGCUCUCAGCUGCUGUCCCAGUCACUCCCUGAGUCAUACCUCUCCACAGCAUGACACCACGUGACUCUAACUAGUGCUGCCCUGAGGACUGACUGUCACAGCCACCCUAGGGAGCGCCAUGGCUUGGGCCAGGGGAAGAAACCCGGUAGCCAUUCAGUAGAGAGCUCUCACCCACAUCCGGCAGGUGGGGCUUGUGGGGAAAGAGCCCCAGAAUGUUUCCCUGAGCAGCGAUUCCUGUUUGCUGCAGGCUUUGCUCGCCCAAGACCUUGACCAAGAAGUUGAUAUACCUCAUUGCCAAGCGAAGUGUCUCGUUUUUGCUCAGCUUCUUGUCUGGAGGGUGAGUGGGGAUGAGUUUCCUCAGCUUGGCAAAGGCGCUGUUAACACUCUGCUGCCUCCAUCGCUCCCUGGUGUUUGUGAAGAUCUUUCUGGUCAUGUCCGGGUUCCUGCGAUGGGAAAGAAAAGAGGCUUUGGUCGCCAAGACCUUGUAAGAGGCACAGUUAAAAUCGCGUGUUCUCCCAAGAACCUGCCGUGUUAGCUUUUCUCAGCUCAUACUUUCAUACUAAAUGGAUUUUAGGAGAUCCAUUUUGACUAAAAAAUUUUGGAAAUGUCUUUUUUUAAGAAGAAAACAGUUGGAAGAAGAGGAGGCAAAAGACCAGCACACUGUAGCCCUCUCUCCCUGAUUAUUUUGCAGUCACCGUUACAGAACUGCAACUAGUCCUUUCCCUGCACUCGUCAUCCCCCAUCUCCCAUCUUUUUGAGGCGGGAUCCUGUGUAUUCUGGGACAGCCUCAACCUUACUAUAUAGCCAAGGACGAUCUUGAACGUCUGAUUCUCUUGCCUUCACAUCCUGAAGGCUGGGGUUCCAGGCAUGAGUCUCCAUUAUUUUGGUUUAUGCAUGUCGGGGGUUGAACCCAGGGCUUCAUGCAUUACUUCAACUAAGCUACGUCUCCGACCCCACUGCCUCCUUCACGACCCAUCAUCUCUCCCCAUGGACCAAAAUCAUCUACAGUAUAGGAUCGUGCACAUGUGUGACUAAAAUCCAUGCUUAGCCCACGGAGUGUCGGAUGCGAAUGUGCGGUGUAUUGAGCACUUUUAAGAAUGGAGAAAUAAGGGGGCUGGAGAGAUGGCUCGGUGGUUAAGAGCACUGGCUGUUCUUCCAGAGGUCCUGAGUUCAAAUCCCAGCAACCACAUGGUGGCUCACAACCAUCUGUAAUGGAAUCCGAUGCCCUCUUUUGGUGUGUCUGAAGACAGCUACAGUGUACUCAUAUACAAAGUAAAUAAAUAAAUCUUUAAAAAAAAAAGAAUGGAGAAAUAAAAUGAUAUUUGGAUUGGAGAAGAUGGGGCAGCUUCAGCCGACCUCGUAUGGAGAACUGGGCUCCAAACUCCAAUGGCUAGAAUGUUCACAUCUGGAGGACUGUGAGCAGGGUGAGAAAGGGCUGAGAUAAUCAGAUCUCUGAAAGCAGACGUGAGGGUGUUCAGCCUGAGAAGAACGAAAAGGUGCUAGGCAGGCACCUGUGGUCUGUGGCAUGGGCGUCCAGAGGACACCUGGACUUCCUGGCAUUGCCAUCGCUGACCUUUUCCACAUCAGGAAGGAGCAUCGAAAACUGCCAAGUCUCGCUUGCCAUCUUUAACUGUUGGAGGCACAGACCCGCUUCCUCCCUCAUGGAAUAGUGCAUUUUAAUGGGAACCAUCAUGACAGACUGGCAAGUAAAUCAAAGCUCAGCCAUGGGAAGCCUGCUGUUUGUGGUUCACUGCUGACUCCAGCCUUAGCUUCCCAGGACACUCAGCCCUUCUGUCCCCUCCCAAGAGUGAUGCGUAUUGCUAAUUCACUACACCUUUUCAUGCUCUUUCCUCGUUCUUGAAUCUCCUCCUCACAUUCUCCUGUCUCUUUAAAGAACUGCUCCAAAGUGGGCCUGGCAGUGCAGGCCUGCAGACCUAGCUACUUAGGAGGCUAAGGAUUUCAAGCUCAAGGCCUCCUCGAGCUACAGAGUGAGUUAGGCCUUCCUGGGCAAGAGCACUUGCCUGUAGCACACGUGAGGGAGGCCUGAGGUUCAUCUCUAGAGCUGAAAAAGGGACCAGCUCUACCCAGCCUCCUCCUAACCCUGACUGUCUAAGAGUCUUCAUAGCAUAACACAGUACUCUCUGGAGAUGCUAGGAUCAACUGCAGCUGUCAGCUGUGGCAUCCCUGGAGUAAGCAACAGCGCCCGUACUGUGUUGUCAGUGGUUUGAGGACUGGGAUAUUCAAUAAAUUAUAUGUGACAUAUCCUA